AUGUCUGGUGCACGCUCCAGGCUAAGUUUCAGCCCUCCAGUCUGGAAGUGGAGUGGACCAGAGGUGCCCAGGAGAGCCCUUGUCACAGCCCCUGAGAAAGAUCAAGCGCAUCGAGGCAGAGACAGCGGCCGCGCGAGUCGGUGUUCAUCUGGGGGGCCUGCCCCGGGGCCUGCAGGCGGCAGAGGUCCCGGCGAACGCCGGCCUGCCUGGGCAGGCGGCUGCGCACCCCAGCCCUGGCCCUUUCAGUCCCGGAGCGACUGCUUUAGUCAAGGCUGCCUCAGCAAGACACCCUCGUCCCCCGAUUGUGCCCUUAUUUGGGUAAAGUCCCAGCCGCCUUCACCAACGGAGACAAAAGGCGUUGCUCCUGGGACCUGGCCCAGCUCUGCUAGGAUGGAUCCAGAGAGAGAGCGGGGACAGCGGGCGCACUCUGCAGUGUCCUGUGACAGCCAUGUCCCGGGCCGGGGCGUGCGCACCAAGGCUGCCGCAGCCCGCACUCCCUGCUUCCACAAAGUCUCCGAGCUUUGCGUCUGCGGCCAGCAUCAGCGGGAAAGGCUGAGACCACACAGCGGCAGGGGCGCUCCCCCCUGCCCGCCACAAAGUGGGAGCCUGGCACCCUGCCGCCUUCCGGGGCUGUGCGCGCUCCACGUGGCCAUGCCCAGGCCUCAUCUUCCUGCCUGGGCCCUGGGGGAACCUGGGCCGUGGUGCCAGAGCCAGCCUGCGGCAGACGGACCACACCGCACCCUCACCGCCCGCAUCUCUGCGGUGCUCUCCACACCACGCUCUGCGCCUCUGGGCCCUGGGGGGCAGGGGGGGGGCUCCCGUCAACCUCGCCUCCUUGGAGCGACGCCUGCACCCGCUCCUUGUUUCCCCUCCCUUCCCCCUCCUUCUCCCUCCCCUCCCCGUUUCCGGUCCUCAACACGAAUGGCGGAGGGGCUGAGAGCGCCAUGUCCUCGAACCCAUCCUAGCCCAAAGGAACGACUCCACCAUCCCCUCCGCCCUUUCCGAUUCACGAAACCAACAAACCCGGCACUGGCAGAGGCGAGGCCUUCCCUGGGCUUCAGCUCUGGGAUGGAGGCAAGGGACGCCCAAGCCAGAGUCUCCUUCCUGCCCCUCCUCGUGCACCAACACACGUGA
rnacentral:lncRNA from 1 species